CCUACGGGAGGCAGCAGUGGGGAAUAUUGCACAAUGGGGGAAACCCUGAUGCAGCGACGCCGCGUGAGUGAGGAAGUAUUUCGGUAUGUAAAGCUCUAUCAGCAGGGAAGAAAAUGACGGUACCUGACUAAGAAGCACCGGCUAAAUACGUGCCAGCAGCCGCGGUAAUACGUAGGGGGCAAGCGUUAUCCGGAUUUACUGGGGGGAAAGGGAGCGUAGACGGCUAAGCAAGUCAGAAGGGAAAACCCAGGGGUCAAAUUUGGGACUGCUUUUGAAACUGAGUAGCUAGAGUGCAGGAGAGGGGAGCGGAAUUCCAAGUGUAGCGGUGAAAUGCGUAGAUAUUAGGAGGAACACCAGUGGCGAAGGCGGCUUACUGGACUGUAACUGACGUUGAGGCUCGAAAGCGUGGGGAGCAAACAGGAUUAGAUACCCGUGUAGUC
rnacentral:rRNA from 1 species